AUUGAUUCAGUUGAAUCAGAAGUGGGACAUGAAUCUAACAACCAUGACAAGCAGCUCCACAUAAUUAAUUUCCAUAUUCCUUCUGAAAAAGCAUCAUUCUAUCUUCUCCUUCCUUUUAACCCAUAGAUUUUUUCUCCAUCUAUAUUUAAACUCUCGGUCUCUCAAACUUCCACAGAAAGCAAGUUUCAAUAGUGUUUAUUUUCACUCUAGAAGGUGGUGGUGAUGGUGAUGAUUACGAUCAGCUACCGGUGAUUUUCAUGUUCUAUUCCCGGCUUACAUCAAUCAUGGUCAUGGUUCUACUUACUUUGUUUCUUCUAGUGUUGCCGCUUGUUCUGCCGCCGUUGCCGCCGCCGCCGUUAAUCCUUCUCUUCAUUCCGGUCUUAAUCUUGAGCGGUUUGAUUUUCUUGGCAUAUUCUCCUUCCAAGUUGCCUAAUGCCGCAACCGUUAAUGUUUGAUCAUAUCAGAACCAUCUUUUCUUUAUGUCAACAAGAUCAGUGAAAAUUCUUAUUGUUGAUACUGGAGAAGAUAAAUCAGACUGCAAGGAAGCGUGGUAGGGGAGGAUAGGUUCGAACACUGAUAGAGGCAGAAGCCGGACCACCGGAGCUAUCUAGUCUAGCGUGCCGAUUGAAAGAGGAGGGGAGACAACUAAAUGCCAGCGAAAAAAUAGAAAGAGUCAGUGCCGUUCAAAGUAAAAAUUUUUCUAAGAUCCAUUGCUCGAUUUUGCACUUGAGAAUGGUUGUAUUUCAUCACAAGGCUAAACCUAAUAUUAAUCUAGAAAAAUUAAUUAUAAAUAUAUAUUUUUAUCUUAA